GACUCGAUGGUAUAGUGCUAACGCAUCCGCUUGUGGUACUUGAAACGAACGGACGGACGUUCGCGGAAGUCGCCGGUUCGAAUCCGGCUUGAGUCA